UGGGGAAUAUUGGGCAAUGGGCGCAAGCCUGACCCAGCCAUGCCGCGUGAGUGAUGAAGGCCUUCGGGUCGUAAAGCUCUGUGGGGAGGGAAGAAAAUGUCUUGGCUAAUAUCCAAGGAAACUGACGGUACCUCCUUAGCAAGCACCGGCUAACUCCGUGCCAGCAGCCGCGGUAAUACGGAGGGUGCAAACGUUGCUCGGAAUCAUUGGGCGUAAAGCGCACGUAGGCGGUCCGUUAAGUCGGAUGUGAAAGCCCUGGGCUCAACCCAGGAAGAGCAUUCGAAACUGGCGGACUAGAGUAUGGAAGAGGGUCGCGGAAUUCCCGGUGUAGAGGUGAAAUUCGUAGAUAUCGGGAGGAACACCAGUGGCGAAGGCGGCGACCUGGGCCAAUACUGACGCUGAGGUGCGAAAGCGUGGGGAGCAAACAG
rnacentral:rRNA from 1 species